GGGAACCGCGGAGAGGAAACAGUAUCAAAUGAGCUGGUGAGGAUGUGGCCUCCACAGGCUGGAGAACACACAAACACACGAAAAUAAAUACUCAAUUGAACAAGCUUCAUUAAGAUGACUGCAGAGUAUCAGAGAAGAGCAAAACUCUAUGGGAGUCCCAGCGAGGGAGCGGCGGUCACCGCUGGGGGGUGUAAGAGGAGUCUCGCCGAGGAGGAGGCCACGGCUAAAUCAGGUCUGGGAGGGUGAGAAAAGGGAGGCCAGGGAGGGGACCACCAGAGCAGACACAGAAGAGGGUAAGGACUGCAUGUAUACAGGCUCAGCUGGAGCACGGGGUGCCCGAGGGGUGUAGUGACUGAUGCUGGAGAGAGGUCAGGACGGUUUCUGGGACCCUUGGUUAACAUCUGCAGGGGCUUCAGCUUCAUUCUCCAGGCCAGGGCAGGGCUUUUACAGGUGACUUUGGAGAGAGAUGGGGUAAGGGUAGGUGACUUCGAGGAGGCUGUUAGGGUCCAGAUGAAAGCUAGCAAGGACUUUUUACUACGAAAGCAACAUACAGGUGAAUAAUUACAUGCAAAAGAACUAUUAGGAAACUAGUCUUUCUUUUAAAUCAACAAGAAUAUAGCCUGUCUUACUCCAAAGUCUAAAGGUCUAUGGUACAUACUUGGGAGACCUCCAUCCAGACACUGUCCCCAACCAGAACUCUUUACUACAGAAUAUAAAUGAGUUCACUAAGAUAAACAUAAUGACUACA